rnacentral:rRNA from 1 species
UGGCGGACGGGUGAGUAACGCGUGAGCAACCUGCCCUUCGGAGGGGGAUAGUGUCUGGAAACGGACAGUAAUACCGCAUAACGUAUUUUUACCGCAUGAUAGAAAUACCAAAACUGAGGUGCCGAAGGAUGGGCUCGCGUUGGAUUAGAUAGUUGGUGGGGUAACGGCCUACCAAGUCAACGAUCCAUAGCCGGACUGAGAGGUUGAACGGCCACAUUGGGACUGAGACACGGCCCAGACUCCUACGGGAGGCAGCAG